UUGCCUGAGUAGCAUUUGCCUGCAACGAUACCGCAGGUGCGUGGUGCGUGCCCUGGGGCUUGGCGCAGGGCCUGGGGAGUCUGAGGGCGGAUGGAGCUGCGCAGCGUUACAGCAGCACGCUGAGGGGAGGCACCUAAAUGCAAGGUGGUUGUACAUGUUUGGCCUUUAAAGUGGGCCCCUGCAAUGAGUUUUUCUCCGGGUGCAGCUCAAUUUUCACUUUAAAGGAGAAGAAAGCGCUUGGCUUCUGACAGCUGCACAGCGGCCACUGACGUGCUGUGGGGUUCCAAGGCAGAAUUCUCCAUGAUAUGAAGCCAGUGAAUUAUCAGAGUUACAAAAAACUUACUAGGGAAGAGAUUCCAGCAUCUCCUCCCGGUUUCGAGGAUCUCACUGGUCUCUUCACGGCGUGGUGAUGGCGCACCGAGCCGGGCCCGGCUCCGGCUCCGGCUCCGGCUCCGGCUCAGCCAGCCGGCACCUCUGCUCCGGCUCAGCGCCGACUGUGCCACACGGGCCAGGCCUUGAACCCGCGCUUCUGGAUCUCCAGCGUCUCCUUGAGAGCCAUGACGCUGAACCCUUUAGCACAUCAAACACAGAAAAGAAACUCCUCGACUUAUUGCCUGUCGUAGCUCAGUGGCUCUGUGUUGAUCAUACGAGAGCUCACUGGAUAACUUCCAGUCGUCCUUUUCGGAAGGCGUUGGUUGCAGGCGUUUCACGAGCAGGAAGAAGCUGAGGUCAUGCUUUUAGUCUCAUCCUUACAAUUUGAACAGCCUUUGAAAUCAUAUCCAUAAUCACAGUUAAAAAUCAGUUUGGUGUAUGGUUAAUGAUUCACAGAGUUAGUGCUAAAUAAAUAGAUGACUAAGGCUUGUAGCGUUGUACGAGCAGAUUGAUUGGAUUUUGACGUAUGGACAUCUAAUUAUUUUGAAGAUUUGGCUGUAAGUGCUCUACUUUAUCUUUGUUCAUCAUUACUAUUACCGUUUUGGAAAGGUUUCUGAGAGCAUAGAUUCUGAUACUUUAAUCCUCGGUUGUUUUUAAUAAUUUCGUUGAGAAGGGGUUUAGCUUCCUAAGAACUGCUGUGAGAGUGAUCUGCAGCUAAAUCUGUGAAGUGUGAAAAUCAUCUGUGGGAGCAGAUGCACAACAUGCCGACUGUUAAUGUCUCUUUGGCCUCCAAUCCUGUUUUUCCGGUUGGGGUGGGCACUGGCGGGUCGCUGAGUCUCAAUCAGACGCGGACGGUGGGAUCUCUCCUGCCACACAGUCUGACAAUCAGGGUGUUCACACUAUUCACACUCAUUAGACCUCUGCUCAGACCGGCCGCGGCACGGCGAGGACGCGGAACGUGCUCUCCGGAGGCCAGGGUGUGCUUCACGGGCUGAAGAUGAAGGAUUUAUGAGCAAAAUAUUUUCCAUUUUAUUUUAAAAUGAAAUCUAUGUCACUUGGGACUGCAGAUUUUUGACGUGCAUUAUAGAAUGAAAACAUUGAAGCAGGAUUUGUUCCACAAAUGAAUUACCUUAGUGCCAUUCACUUCAUAAUACUUCAAAUAUCACUAACUGCUUAAACGCAAAGCAUUGAAAAUGUGUACAUUGCAUCACUGCUGUUUGGGUGCAUGUUUUCUAAUGAGCAUCCCCCAGUCUGCAAGGAAAGAGGUUUAGUCUGUGCCACCGUUCCCGGUGGCGCUCCGUGUGACACCGGACAGAGCCGUGAAAUACAAAAGUACCAGUGAAUUCAGAUCUCAGGUAAUGAAAGCAGAGAUGGGGUAAUGCAGUUACAAUACUGAGUAUUUGCUGUUAGUGGAGAGUUAGCUGGCUGCUAUGAACACAUAGAAAAUGGACAAUCAGAGAUCUCAUCAUCUUCAAUGAUGAAAUGCUAGCAGGUUAAAUCCAAAUGGAACUGGGCCAGUGGCAGGAAGGGGAAGGUAAAUCUGCUAGGAGCAUUAAAAUCAAGUAAGUUUAUUUAGAUCUACCCCUCUGGAGAGAUGAUUGCAGCCUGGCCAAACAGAGUUAGUAACGUGACAAGUAAAUGCAUUUUCAACCAUUAUAAUCUAAACAGAUUUGAGCUGUUGACUCUUCUCACACACAAGUACCUCUCAGCGCAAAUAACCCCAGCAGGGCCAGGGACGGGACACCCUGCUCAGGUCAGUGCUGGAGCGGCUGUGGAGUGCAGGAAAGCCAAAUUACCUACAAUCUAAUUGCUGGUGUAAAUCAACUAAUCUCCAGCUUCACCAUCCCAUCUGCAGCCUGGCCCCAGGUGCUGUCUGAAACACACUUGGCACAGAACCCUCAGCUAGAAUUACGUAACCCUUUAUUUUGUCAUUUUCUUGUGUUAAUCCUAUUCCAUCUGUGCACAUUUGAGUUUUCUGCAAAAACUGUCUCCACAAUGACUUUCUUUUC